rnacentral:rRNA from 1 species
CGGUGGUUCUGCGUGGAAGGGCCAUCGCUCAACGGAUAAAAGCUACCCUGGGGAUAACAGGCUUAUCUCCCCCAAGAGUCCACAUCGACGGGGAGGUUUGGCACCUCGAUGUCGGCUCAUCACAUCCUGGGGCUGUAGUAGGUCCCAAGGGUUGGGCUGUUCGCCCAUUAAAGUGGUACGCGAGCUGGGUUCAGAACGUCGUGGGACAGUUCGGUCCCUAUCCGUCGCAGGCGUAGGAAAUUUGGGAAGACCUGUCCUUAGUACGAGAGGACCGGGAUGGACGUACCUCUGGUGUACCAGUUGUUCUGCCAAGGGCAUGGCUGGGUAGCUAUGUACGGAAUGGAUAAGCGCUGAAAGCAUCUAAGCGCGAAGCCAACUUCAAGAUAAGAUUUCCCACCGCAAGGGUAAGACCCCAGAAAGACUAUCUGGUUGAUAGGUCGAAGGUGUAAGUGCAGCAAUGUAUUUAGCUUAUCGAUACUAAUAGGUCGAGGACUUGACCAAU